CUUUGCCUUGCUUUUGUCAGGGACGCGGAGUAAUCCUUCUAUCUUUGAUCUCUGUCUGUUCCAGGCACGAAGAAUUGAGUGAGGAAUGUAUGGAGGAAUGUCUUGCAAAGCUGUCCAAGCUGAAAGAUGUGGAGUCACCUAAAAAGUACUAUCAGUUCCAUGGCGAAUAUUUAUUUUUUUUAAAGCGACAUGAUUCAAAUGAAUCAAUGAAGAAAUAGCAGAACUUUUGUACUAGAUCUAUGGAAAAAAGGAGUCAUGUAAACCUAAGAAAAAUGGAGCUGGCUGUUUCAAGCGCAUCCAGGAAAUAUAAAGGAUUCAAAUGAAUCAAUGAAGAAAUAGCAGAACUUUUGUACUAGAUCUCUGGGAAAAAAGGAGUCAUGUAAACCUAAGAAAAAUGGAGCUGGCUGUUUCAAGCGCAUCCAGGAAAUAUAAAGGAUUCAAAUGAAUCAAUGAAGAAAUAGCAGAACUUUUGUACUAGAUCUCUGGGAAAAAAGGAGUCAUGUAAACCUAAGAAAAAUGGAGCUGGCUGUUUCAAGCGCAUCCAGGAAAUAUAAAGGAUUCAAAUGAAUCAAUGAAGAAAUAGCAGAACUUUUGUACUAGAUCUCUGGGAAAAAAGGAGUCAUGUAAACCUAAGAAAAAUGGAGCUGGCUGUUUCAAGCGCAUCCAGGAAAUAUAAAGGAUUCAAAUGAAUCAAUGAAGAAAUAGCAGAACUUUUGUACUAGAUCUCUGGGAAAAAAGGAGUCAUGUAAACCUAAGAAAAAUGGAGCUGGCUGUUUCAAGCGCAUCCAGGAAAUAUAAAGGAUUCAAAUGAAUCAAUGAAGAAAUAGCAGAACUUUUGUACUAGAUGUAUGAAAAAAAGGAGUCAUGUAAACCUAAGAAAAAUGGAGCUGGCUGUUUCAAGCGCAUCCAGGAAAUAUAAAGGAGUGUUGUGCUUAGCUUGAAGCGCUGGUGAUAAAAGAAGCUGCAUCACAUUUUGCUGUGAUUGCUACUCCAGAAAGAUUCCCAACUGCCAUGUGAUGCUUACAAGAGCAGCGUGAGAUUGACUGGCUGGAAAAUAAUUUAAAUUCAGUAGUGCUAAUGCUCAAUAAAUACAUUAUUUGCACUGUAGCAACAUUAACUGCUGCCAGGAUCUUCCGGCCAAAUCCUUUAACAAAAGACACUGGAGUGAGAACUAUUGGGAACUGGGUCAAAAGCAAUUCCGCCACUAUGCAGCAUUCUUAAUUAAGAUAGAAAAAGACUUCUCAGCGGGGCUGGCACUAAAGUUUCCAUGCCAGAUGAUCAGAUAAGUAUCUUUUUUUUUUAAGUUAACGCCACUAUUGAAGCUUGGUUAUACCUCUCUGAGUAAACUGGGCUGAUCUCCUUUCCUGUGAUAAAA